GACGAACGCUGGCGGCGUGCUUAACACAUGCAAGUCGAACGAAGUGGCGAACGGGUGAGUAAUACGUGGGUACCCUGCCCUCCUUUUGGGGCUAAGCCUUGUAAACGGGGUCUAAUACCGAAUAACGGGUGAUGGGCUCGCGGCCUAUCAGCUUGUUGGUGGGGUGAUGGCCUACCAAGGCGGUGACGGGUAGCCGGCCUGAGAGGGUGACCGGCCACAUUGGGACUGAGAGACGGCCCAGACUCCUACGGGAGGCAGCAGUGGGGGAUAUUGGACAAUGGGCGCAAGCCUGAUACAGCCAUGCCGCGUGUCUGAAGAAGGCCUUCGGGUUGUAAAGGACUUUUGUUAGGAAAACGGUACCUAAAGAAUAAGCACCGGCUAACUACGUGCCAGCAGCCGCGGUAAUUC
rnacentral:rRNA from 1 species